rnacentral:rRNA from 1 species
UACAGAGGGGGCAAGCGUUAUUCGGAAUUAUUGGGCGUAAAGGGCGCGUAGGCGGCCUGACAAGUGGAAGGUGAAAUCCCUCGGCUUAACCGAGGAACUGCCCUCCAAACUGUUUGGCUUGAGUCCGGGAGAGGUGAGUGGAAUUCCCAGUGUAGCGGUGAAAUGCGUAGAUAUUGGGAGGAACACCAGUGGCGAAGGCGGCUCACUGGACCGGAACUGACGCUGAGGAACGAAAGCGUGGGGAGCGAACAGG